UACACUUAAAAAAGAAAACAGAAACAGAAGAAACAUCUUACAAUAUCCUCCUCGGUAUGUACUUCUCGUCUAUUCCUUUCCUCUUUUCUUACCUGAUUGGCGGAUGUCGACCAUCUUACCAUUGUUCUGAGGACCCUAGCAUCCCUCACCACCCCCAGCAUUUGUGCAUCUUGUUCUGGAGGAUCAGUAGGAGUUCAGCUGAGUCCAGAGGUGGUAACAAACAACCCCGAAUCCUCAUGGUUUACAGCAGCCAAGAGUUCGGUCUGUCUCACACUCACGUUCAUGGGGGGUCUGCAGAGCUCGGUUCCACGUCGUCUUCACUCCAGGACCAAGGCUGACGGACAACAGUCCCACCCGGCCGAGGAAGAGGCAAUGGUGGGAGCUGUCACGGCGCUUCAGGCGUCUGCUUGGACCCAGCACACGUCGUUUCCACUACAUUUCGCUGCCUGAGGGACCAGCCCGCCUCAGUGCAGCAGAAGUCAGAACCCUCCCUCAGGGAUGGGCCAUGAAUGUCUUGACAAUAUGUACUCUGCCCCAUAAUAAAGCCUUACACCUGGGCUUCACAACUCUAGUCCCCCCCUCUUGCUCUACAUGCGUGGGGAAGAAAGCCCAGAGACGGGAGGCGAUGUGCCUGACGUCACACAGCAGUCCGUGGAAGACAAGCAUGCGGAUGACCUUCCAGUUCAACGGGAGCAGGACCCGAAUGGACCCCUAGCUCUGUCGUUCUAGGCAAAUCCUUUCCAGCCUGAGCUUUGGCUCGCCUUUCUGGAAUACGGGGUGAUAGUGUCGACUUCCCGGCAGGGACGUUUGGAGGGAUGGGUAAGACUUUGUAAGGUACCACACUCAGUGUCUGACACAGAGGAGCCUCUUAAUACACAUCUGUUCCCGUGUCUUCCCUCCAUGUCAACAGCCCCAAACUCCUUCGCCUCAUCCCCCUAUGCUCUCUGCCUCCAAGCCCGCCUCUUCUUCAUUUAGAAGUCGAGAGAAACAGAAAUUUUU